GACGAACGCUGGCGGCGUGCCUAGUACAUGCAAGUCGAACGCAUUUUCUUUCACCGUAGCUUGCUACACCGAAAGAAAAUGAGUGGCGAACGGGUGAGUAACACGUGGGUAACCUGCCCAUCAGCGGGGGAUAACACUUGGAAACAGGUGCUAAUACCGCAUAAUUCCAUUUACUGCAUGGUAGAUGGAUGAAAGGCGCUUUUGCGUCACUGAUGGAUGGACCCGCGGUGCAUUAGCUAGUUGGUGGGGUAACGGCCUACCAAGGCUGCGAUGCAUAGCCGACCUGAGAGGGUGAUCGGCCACACUGGGACUGAGACACGGCCCAGACUCCUACGGGAGGCAGCAGUAGGGAAUCUUCGGCAAUGGACGCAAGUCUGACCGAGCAACGCCGCGUGAGUGAAGAAGGUUUUCGGAUCGUAAAACUCUGUUGUUAGAAAAGAACAAGGAUGAGAGUGGAAAGUUCAUCCCUUGACGGUAUCUAACCAGAAAGCCACGGCUAACUACGUG
rnacentral:rRNA from 1 species